GUGCCAGCAGCCGCGGUAAUACGGAGGAUGCAAGCGUUAUCCGGAUUCAUUGGGUUUAAAGGGUGCGCAGGCGGGCCUGUUAGUCAGGGGUGAAAGCCUCCCGCUUAACGGGAGAUUGGCCUUUGAUACUGCAGGUCUUGAGUCUAGCUGAGGUAGGCGGAAUGUAGUAUGUAGCGGUGAAAUGCAUAGAUAUACUACAGAACACCCAUUGCGAAGGCAGCUUACCAAACUAGCACUGACGCUCAGGCACGAAAGCGUGGGUAGCAAACAGGAUUAGAUACCCUGGUAGUCCACGCCGUAAACGUUGAUCACUCGUUGUUGGCAAUACACCGUCAGCGACUCAGCAAAAGCAUUAAGUGAUCCACCUGGGGAGUACGAUCGCAAGGUUGAAACUCAAAGGAAUUGACGGGGGCCCGCACAAGCGGAGGAGCAUGUGGUUUAAUUCGAUGAUACGCGAGGAACCUUACCCCGGGCUUAAAUGUAGCGUGCAUUCCCGUGAAAA
rnacentral:rRNA from 1 species